rnacentral:rRNA from 1 species
CGCUGGCGGCAGGCUUACACAUGCAAGUCGAACGCUCGUAGCAAUACGGGAGUGGCAGACGGGUGAGUAACGCGUGGGAACAUACCCUCCGGUUCGGAAUAGCUCAGGGAAACUUGGAUUAAUACCGGAUACGGCUGAGAGGCGAAAGAUUUAUCGCCGGAGGAUUGGCCCGCGUUCGAUUAGCUAGUUGGUGAGGUAACGGCUCACCAAGGCGAUGAUCGAUAGCUGGUCUGAGAGGAUGAUCAGCCACAUUGGGACUGAGACACGGCCCAAACUCCUACGGGAGGCAGCAGUGGGGAAUAUUGGACAAUGGGCGCAAGCCUGAUCCAGCCAUGCCGCGUGAGUGAUGACGGCCUUAGGGUUGUAAAGCUCUUUCGCUCGGGACGAUNAUGACGGUACCGAGAUAAGAAGCCCCGGCUAACUUCGUGCCAGCAGCCGCGGUAAUACGAAGGGGGCUAGCGUUGUUCGGAAUUACUGGGCGUAAAGCGCGUGUA